GGCAGCUCGGCAACGUCAUCGGCCCGCCCGGCUACGAACCGGUCCCCGGCUCGCCAGGCCGGGUCACCGGCGGUUCCGGCCGCUGGCUGGCC
rnacentral:tRNA from 1 species